GUUUGGUGGGCGGGACCUGUUUUGUGGGCGUGGCCGUGGCGGGCUCAAAUGGCGGCGGCGCUGGGCGCCUAGGCCGGCGGGGGCCAUGAGCGCCGCCCGGCCCCAGUUUAGCAUCGAUGAUGCCUUCGAGCUGACCCUGGAGGACGCGGGGCCUGGGCCCGAGUCCAGCGGGGUCGCCCGCUUCGGGCCGCUGCACUUCGAGCGCCGGGCUCGGUUCGAGGUGGCUGAUGAAGACAAGCAGUCCCGGCUACGCUACCAGAACCUGGAAAAUGAUGAGGACGGAACCCAGGCCUCUCCGGAGCCAGAUGGGGGAGUCAGCACCAGGGAUUCAGGGCACAUGUCUAUCCGCAGCUCCCAGUGGUCCUUCAGCACCAUCAGCAGCAGCACACAGCGCUCCUACAACGCCUGCUGCAGCUGGACCCAACAUCCUUUGAUCCAGAAAAACCGCCGGGUAGUGCUGGCCUCCUUCCUGCUUCUGCUGUUGGGGCUAGUGCUUAUCCUGGUCGGCGUGGGACUGGAGGUGGCCCCCUCUCCAGGUGUCUCCAGUGCCAUCUUCUUUGUGCCGGGCAUCCUGCUGUUAGUCCCAGGAGUCUACCAUGUGAUCUUCAUCUACUGUGCUGUCAAGGGCCGCCGGGGCUUCCAAUUCUUCUACCUGCCCUAUUUUGAGAAGUGAGCUACAACUGGCCAGUGGCUCACCAGUGAUCCAAGGCCUCAGGUCACCUCCACGCGUCCACAGGGUAUUCCUCCAACCUACACCUGGUUCUGUUCCUUUCACCUGAGGCCCUCUGGGACCCUCACAACCACCAGGCCCCUUUGAAUUUGCUCAGGAAGUUUGGAGCAUGCCAGCCUGGGGAUAUUGCCUCUUACCUGAUGUGUGCCUUAACUUAUUUCUGGGUUCUGGACUCCUGGGUUGGUGUAAUUUUGUGCUAAUAAAAGGGUAAUUACUUCC
ensembl:processed_transcript